CCCUACGGGAGGCAGCAGUGGGGAAUAUUGCACAAUGGGGGGAACCCUGAUGCAGCGACGCCGCGUGGGUGAAGGAGUAUUUCGGUAUGUAAAGCCCUAUCAGCAGGGAAGAACAAUGACGGUACCUGACUAAGAAGCACCGGCUAAAUACGUGCCAGCAGCCGCGGUAAUACGUAUGGUGCAAGCGUUAUCCGGAUUUACUGGGUGUAAAGGGAGCGCAGGCGGCGCGUUAAGCCUGGUGUGAAAGCCCGCGGCCCAACCGCGGGACUGCAUUUGGAACUGUAUAGCUAGAGUGUCGGAGAGGC
rnacentral:rRNA from 1 species